rnacentral:rRNA from 1 species
UACGUAGGGAGCAAGCGUUGUCCGGAAUCAUUGGGCGUAAAGCGCGCGUAGGUGGCCUCGUAAGUCCGCUGUAAAAGUCAAAGGCUCAACCUUUGAAAGCCGGUGGAUACUGCGGGGCUAGAGUACGGAAGAGGCGAGUGGAAUUCCUGGUGUAGCGGUGGAAUGCGCAGAUAUCAGGAGGAACACCAAUAGCGAAGGCAGCUCGCUGGGACGUUACUGACACUGAGGCGCGAAAGCGUGGGGAGCGAUCCGG